ACCACAUAGUUAUACAUUGCGUUUAUCUCUUUGGAAACCCGAGUACUCUACUGAGGAAACUGACCAUGCCAGAAAAUUGUCCAUAAGAAAUGGAACAGAAUAAAUUCUGUUCCACAAUAACCUGUUGGGUGACUGUUCCAGACAUCUAAUGGAGCAGCGGUGGCAUUUACAAGAAUUCUCUACUGAGGGUGUCAGCCAUCAUUUCAAUCUCAGCUGAGAGCUUGUCAGAUUGUCUGGAGGGACUGUUAUGGUGGAAAAUGCAAUUGUGUGACAGAGUCAGGUGCUGCGUUAUGCAUGUGCAUACGAAGGGGAGUCAGAUUUGUCCAGGGAGUCAAAUUUUGAUACAACUUUCAUUCACCUGGGCUCAUGUGGUUUGCGCUGUGCACUGGUCACUACAAACUCAAUGGAAUAGGAGCACAUAAUUAUGUUUCGUUAAAUAAGUUGCAUAUAAAGUUUACGUUUCAAAAUUG